rnacentral:lncRNA from 1 species
GGUCUCAUGCCCUGCAUAGAUUACAAUUCCUACAACUUCUUCUGUAUUUCUAAUAGUACAUCCACGUAACAAAAGAUUUUCUUUGAACAGUCCAUCCUUUUUUCCACUUUUAUGUACAAUGGAACCUCGAAACCUACUUAAGUCGUUGUUAGGAUUCUCACAUUCAAUGACACUGGUGAACUUCAAGGGGUCAAAUUCUGAGUCCAGCUCUAAAAACC